UCUUGAUACCUAGACCAUCAGGAAAAUUAAGGAGCACUUCCAGAAAAGGAGUUAACUGGAAGAAAUGAGAACUAGAACAUCUGCAGAUGCCCUGGUCAACUGUGGAGGGCCAGGCUGGGAAGGAUGGCCAUUUUCAAAUGAGGACGUAGCUCCAUUCAUCAUUAGCUGAGAACUGGUAGAGUUUUCUGGGAUCUGUGAGCUCCUGACGGAAGUUACAACUGGCAUUUUGGGAGCUAUGCGGCGGUAGUAAGGAAAGUUACUGGCUCCUCCCCUUGGGGAACCUAUCAUUACCCUGGAGAAGGAGGAGUGGAGGCCCAAACCAGACCUGGAAAAGUCCAUCCCAAACUGUUCUCCUCCUUGGUAGCCUGAAGUCUGCACACACGGCAGGCCCAUCACCUCCUGCAUAGGCCUGACGAAGUGGGAGUCUGCAGGUUCACUAAAUGGGUUCUCUACAUGGGAGCCAGGGGCAGAGGAGGGCCCACCUGCAGGCCCAGCCUCUGGACUCAACAAAUAGGGGGCCUCACUCUCCAGCCUGCAGUCACUAGUGGUGUUUGGAAUAUUAUCAUCAUUGUUCUGAUUUGCAGUAAAGUUAUUUCCUCUGCUCUUGUUAAGAAAAUUCGAAAUACUAAAAGUGGACUUAUGCUCUAGGUUAUUUGUGACUUCCAAAAUAUGGAUAUCACCUACCCUGUCUGUGCUAGACUGGGGAUCUGAAAAACUCCGAUCACUGCUUUCAGGGCUGAGGUCUAUCUUCUCGGCACUGACCACAACUCCUUCCACUUCCACAGACUCGCUGCCUUCUGCUUGUGAGGUCACAUCGCUCACUUCAUCCUGAGGCUCAGGUGAGCUCAGGGGCUCAGAUUUAACCACCACUCUCAUGUGCUCCUUCUCACCAAGGCCAACCUCAGGGUUUUCACACUGAAAACUACUUUUCUCAGGUGCAGCUUCCUGAUCAAAACUAGUCUCAACCUGAGUUGCACGAGAGGCCAUGGACAACUGUGCCAUGUUGCCAGCACUGUUAUCAGACUGGCUGGGCACCUGGGCAUCUUCUUGAGUGCCAAAAGACUGAUCAAACAUGAUCGCACUAUCUUCCUGGUUAUCAGUCAUUCCAUCAGCUUUAGGAUUAUCCACAAUUUUCAGAGAAUCUGGUGAAAAGAACUCCUCCCGAGAAUGAACCCCUGAAGGCCCAUUCUCCGGUGUAACAUCUGAAAUGGCAGACUCAUCUAUGGAGGGUCGGAGGCGCUGCCUGGCCCGCUCCUCUGCAGACUGCUUGCGCUUAUGAAGGCGUCUCAUGGGGAAGGGCGUGCGCUGAUCCAGGUUACUGCGCAUGGAAGAGCUCAUGGGGGCUGGCUGCUCCUCGCCAUUCUGGCUGGAAUUGAGGGCUGAGCUCACGAUGCUUAGUCCCAGCUGCUGUAGCAUAAAGGAGCGCUGCAUGCGGGCGCUCUGCUCCUGAACGCGCUCACUGGGGGGAGACAUGGGCAGCGUCCUUGUCGUUAAGUAAUGUUUACAUGCCUUAACAACAGAGUUCAAAUGCAGGUGAGAGGCUGCCAAUAAGACAUCCAUUACAUUGCUCUCCCCCAGCAUGAGGGUGGAGGUAUACAUCAUGUCAAUCAGUGCAGCAAAGGCCUCUGCUGUCACCACCUCGCUAUCCAGCUGGAUCAUGUUCAUGGUCUGAUCUCCUUCUGCCACUGAGAACAGGGCUCGGAAAUGCGUGCUGCAUGCUGCCAGCACGGAGCGGUGGGCUUUAAAGUGUCUAUUCCCCACUACAAUGACACAAUCACAGAGCUGGCCAUGAAGUCUCUGGUAGUUCAGCUGCUGGAAGAUUUGUUCAAAGUGACCAGGAAAAUCCAUGAUCCUACAGAAAAACAAAGAAAGAAAAUGUUAAGACCUAGAAAAGCUUCAAAGUCAGA
rnacentral:lncRNA from 1 species